UGUGGUUUAAUUUCGAUGAUACGCGAGGAACCUUACCUGGGCUAGAACGCAUUCGGAAUCAGGCCGAAAGGCCUGCGCCAGCGAUGGCCGCUUGCGAGGUGCUGCAUGGUUGUCGUCAGCUCGUGCCGUGAGGUGUCGGGUUAAGUCCCAUAACGAGCGCAACCCCUACUGCUAGUUGCCAGCGGGUCAUGCCGGGGACUCUAGCGGAACUGCCAGCGUAAGCUGCGAGGAAGGUGGGGAUGACGUCAAAUCAGCACGGCCCUUACGUCCAGGGCUACACACGUGUUACAAUGGCCGGUACAGAGGGCAGCCACCCCGCGAGGGGGCGCGAAUCCCGAAAGCCGGUCCCAGUUCGGAUCGGAGUCUGCAACCCGACUCCGUGAAGCUGGAUUCGCUAGUAAUCGCGCAUCAGCCACGGCGCGGUGAAUACGUUCCCCGGCCUU
rnacentral:rRNA from 1 species